rnacentral:rRNA from 1 species
UAUUUUCCACAAUGGAUGAAAGUCUGAUGGAGCAACUCCGCGUGAGCGAAGAAGGUUUUCGGAUCGUAAAGCUCUGUUGUAAGGGAAGAACAGGUACGGGAGUCACUACCUGUACCUUGAUGGUAUCUUUUCAGAAAGCCUCGUCUAACUACGUCCCAGCAGCCGCGGUAAUACGUAGGUGGCAAGCGUUUCCCGGAAUUAUUGGGCGUAAAGCGCGCGCAGGCGGUCCUUUAAGUCUAAUGUGAAAGCCCACGGCUCAACCGUGGAGGGUCAUUGGAAACUGGAGGACUUGGGUACAGAAGAGGAAAGCGGAAUUCCACGUGUAGCGGUGAAAUGCGUAAAGAUGUAGAGGAACACCAGUGGCGAAGGCGGCUUUCUGGUCUGUAACUGACGCUGAGGCGCGAAAGCGUGGGGAGCAAACA